rnacentral:rRNA from 1 species
CCUAUGGUGGGCUGCAGUGGGGAAUAUUGGACAAUGGGCGAAAGCCUGAUCCAGCCAUGCCGCGUGUGUGAAGAAGGCCUUCGGGUUGUAAAGCACUUUCAGUGGGGAAGAAAGCCUUGGGGCUAAUACCCUCGAGGAAGGACAUCACCCACAGAAGAAGCACCGGCUAACUCCGUGCCAGCAGCCGCGGUAAUACGGAGGGUGCGAGCGUUAAUCGGAAUUACUGGGCGUAAAGCGCGCGUAGGCGGUCUGAUAAGCCGGUUGUGAAAGCCCCGGGCUCAACCUGGGAACGGCAUCCGGAACUGUCAGGCUAGAGUGCAGGAGAGGAAGGUAGAAUUCCCGGUGUAGCGGUGAAAUGCGUAGAGAUCGGGAGGAACACCAGUGGCGAAGGCGGCCUUCUGGACUGACACUGACGCUGAGGUGCGAAAGCGUGGGUAGCAAACAGGAUUAGAUACCCGGGUAGUC